rnacentral:rRNA from 1 species
GAAAAGAACUUUGAAGAGAGAGUUCAAGAGUGCGUGAAACCCUCCAGAGGUAAACGGUUGGAAUCAGGCCGUGGCUUCUGGGUUUUCGCUGGGGCAGCUGUCUGCUGAUUAGUCUUGGAGAAUGGAGCGCUUUUCGGGUGCUUGGUCUCUGGGACCGGUCAAAUCGCAGGCGUUGUCACUAGUCUUCUCCCAGAUCGCUGCCGCAGCCGGUUGGGGUUGAAAAUUCCCUCUGGUUACCCGCAGGGAGCUGCGCCUUCAACGUUUCGGCGUUGUGUGGUGCAACCUGUUGGGGAUUCGCUGGGGGAAACCUGACCGCAGUUGACAGACUGAUAGGGCGUCGGCACUUGGUGCGGGCGAACUGGUGCGCGACGGGCCGAUCCGGCAGGGUGUUUGCCGCAGUGCAGCUCUCCGGGUUGGUUCGUGUCGGCGCUUGCCAGGUUCUCGCCUUCGGGCGCUCCUAUGCUUUGCGGUAUCUGUUGCCUCUGUUCCUACCGACCCGUCUUGAAACACGGACCAAGGAGUCUAACUUGUAUGCGAGUGAUCGAGUUUUUUUCAAAGCUCGAACGCGAAAUGAAUGUGAAGGUUCUCGUACGAGAGCUGACGGAGGAUCCCCGGUGUAAGCCCUCCUCGUGUGGGACGGCCGGGGCGCACUCCGGGGGCAUCGAGACU